CUACUUACCUGCAGGGAGAUACCCAUGAUAAGAAGGUGGUUUCACCCAGGGCGAGGCUUAACCCAUUGCACUCGUUAUGCUGAACCCUGCGAAUCCCCAAAUGUGGGAAUCUCGACUGCCAUACUUGUGGUGUGGGGGACUGCGUUCGCGCUCUCCCCUA